rnacentral:lncRNA from 1 species
GUGAGUCUACGUCCAUAUUAUUUGCCCAGAGAGUUCUCUCACGCCAUUGUACUCGUUGUUUACAUUGCUCCCUCGGCUGAGGCGUCGCGGGCUACUGACGUCAUCAGCUCUGUGACCGCGAGGCUUCAGACCCAGCACCCUAAUGCCUUCAUAGCGAUUUCUGGCGAUUUUAACCAUGUUAAUCUGAAAUCAACUCUGCCCACUUUCAAGCAGUUUGUGGACUGUAAAACAAGAGAAAAUAAAACUCUAGAUUUACUGUAUGCUAAUGUUAAAGAGGCAUACAGCUCCAUAGCUCUCCCUCCCUUGGGCAGAUCAGACCAUAGCCUAGUCCAUCUCAAACCCCAGUAUAUACCAGCAGUACCAGCACCAGUGGUGGUGACCACCAAAACUGUACGGAGGUGGACACCGGAAGCCCUGGAGACCCUGCAGGGAUGUUUUGAGGUGACUGACUGGGAUGUGUUCUGUGACACCCACGGUGAGGAUGUAGACACACUCACAGACUGUAUCACAGAAUAUGUUAAUUUUUGCACAGAUUCUCUAAUCCCCACCAGGUCAAUACGCUGCUUUCCAAACAAUAAACCAUGGGUGACAAAGGACAUCAAGGCAUCACUCAACAGAAAGAAGACAGCCUUCUUGAGUGGAGACAGAGAGGAGAUGAGGAGGGCCCAGGCAGAGGUGAGGGAGAAGAUUGGAGAGGGCAAGGAGAGCUACAGGAGGAAGCUGGAGAGCCAACUUGCCCGGAACAACUUGAGGGAGGUAUGGAGUGGCAUGCGAACCAUCACCGGCCACAAUAGGAUCUCUGACCAGCUGAUGGAUGGAGAUCUGCAGGAGGCCAACCAGCUGAACCUGUUUUUCAACAGGUUUGAUAGUCCACUCCCUGACCACCCUCCCCCUCCCUGUGAUGCACCAUUAACACCUGUCUAUAACAACAAUGUACCUCCUCCUCCUCCCCCUCCCCCUCCCCCUAACCAUACUAACCAGUUUCACCUCCCCAUCAAUAACAUCACCCUGCCCCCCUUACCCCACCUUCCAUUAACAACCCCCCACCCUCCCCCAUCAGAUCUCUCUCUCUGCUCUUCUGUGUCCACAGUUACCAUCACCACAGAGGAUGUGAGGAGGGAGUUCAGUCGCCUACGACCGGGAAAAGCUGCAGGACCGGACGGACUCAGCCCCAGAGUACUCAGGGACUGCGCCACACAGCUGUGUGGGGUCUUCCAGCACAUCUUCUCCCUGAGUCUGAGCCUGAUGACUGUCCCUGCCCUGUGGAAGACAACAUGCCUUGUUCCUGUGCCCAAGACCAAACAUCCAAGCACACACAGCGACUACAGACCAGUUGCUCUGACUUCACAUGUGAUGAAGUCUCUGGAGAGGCUGGUCCUGAAACACCUGCGUGCUGUUGUGGAACCAUCGCUGGACCCCCUGCAGUUUGCUUACCAGCCCCGUAUUGGAGUGGAGGACGCCAUCAUCUACCUGCUGCACAGAGCACACACCUACUUGGAGGAGGCAGGUAACACUGUUAGAAUCAUGUUCUUUGAUUUUUCCAGUGCGUUUAACACCGUGCAGCCUGCCCUUUUGAAUAGGAAGCUCCUGGACAUGCAGGUAGAGACCCCACUGGUCACCUGGAUCACUAACUAUCUUACAGGUCGACCACAAUUUGUGAGGCUGAGGAACACCGUCUCGGACACGAUAGUGAGCAGCACGGGGGCACCCCAGGGCACGGUACUGUCUCCAUUCCUGUUCACACUCUAUACAUCGGACUUCAGACACUGCUCACAGUCCUGCCACCUGCAGAAGUUCUCGGAUGACUCUGCCAUUGUGGGCUGUACCAGCAGAGGUCGGGAGGCGGAGUAUAUGAGUGUGGUGGACAGCUUUGUGGAGUGGUGCGGACAGAACCACCUGCAGCUGAAUGUCACAAAGACAAGAGAGCUGGUGGUGGACUUCAGGAAGCACCAGACACUCCCAAACCCGGUCAGCAUCAAGGGUACCAACGUGGACAUUGUGGACAGCUACAAAUACCUGGGUGUCCACAUUGACCACAAACUGGACUGGUCCACAAACGCAGAGGCAAUAUACAGGAAGGGACAGAGUCGCCUGUAUCUACUGAGGAGACUCAGGUCCUUUAACGUCUGCCAGACCAUGCUGCAGAUGUUUUACCACUCGGUGGUCUCCAGCGUCAUCUUCUACGCUGUAGUGUGCUGGGGCAGCAGGAUGAAGACGGCCGACACCAACAGACUCAACAAGCUCAUUAGGAAGGCUGGCUCGGUACUGGGAGUGGAGCUGGAGUCUGUGGUGGAGGUGACAGAGAGGAGGAUACUGAGGAAACUCCUCAGUAUUCGUAACAACACGUCUCACCCCCUGCACGACACACUGCUGUCCUACAGGAGCACAUUCAGCGGUAGACUGAGACUACCGAGGAGCAGCACAGAACGCCACAGGAGGUCCUUCCUGCCAGUGGCCAUCAGACUGUAUAACUCCUCCCCUUUCUGUAGGGAGAAGUGCUAGAUAAUCAUGUCAGGCAUCACUGUCAUUCCCUC